AUGCACCCCUUCAAAACCUGUGUUAGAUGUACCCACGUGGCAAUUGAGGUAUCCUCCUAUGAAGAGCUUCUUGUCAAUAGGUACACUCCUAACCAUGUCCUCCAGGCCUUCGUAGCACCCCUCUUGGUGUUCUCAUUGUGGUCCACUUUCGGGGCAUACUCGUUGAUAACAUUGAGAAUUAAGUCCCCAACAACCAGCUUGACCAGGAUAACCCGGUCCUCACGUCUCCUUACGUCGACAACUCCAUACUUGAGGCUAUUGUUGAUCAAGAUGCCUUCUCCAUUUCUGUUUGCAGUCGUCCCCGUGUACCAUAGCUUGAAGCCGGUAUUCUCCACCUCCUUUGCCUUCUGUCCCCUCCAUUUGGUUUCUUGGACGCAAAGGAUAUCAACAACUCUCCUCACCGCUGUAUCUACUAGCUCCCGAAGCAUACCUGCCACCUGUCAGGGGCCAUAA
rnacentral:rRNA from 1 species